rnacentral:lncRNA from 1 species
UGAAUCUCCGACGAUGUCCAGAGUCUUGAUUCUCAAAUCAAUGGCUUGCUCAAUACCCAAGAUACAUGCUUCAUACUCAGCUUCAUUAUUGGUGCACUCAAAAGUCAGACGGGCGGUGAAAGGCAUGUGGGCACCUUUCAAAGGGGUAAUGACAGCACCAAUUCCACUUCCUUUGGCAUUGACGGCCCCAUCAAACAUCAAAGUCCACUUUUCAUCUGGAUCAGGUC